rnacentral:lncRNA from 1 species
CCUGUAGCUUCCCUGUCACUUCUCUGGCUCUCCUCUCCUGCUAAGCUUUGUUUCCUGGCAGUAAUUAAAACCUUCUGCCACUGCCAUAGCUGCUGCUGCUGCUGGAACCGCCAUAGCCACCUUGGUUUCGUGGUUUGGCAAAGUAUUGGCCUCCACCACCAUAGGGGCCAGAGCUUCUGCCUCCAAAAUUUCCUCCUUUCAUGGGUCCAAAAUUUGAGGAUUGAUUGUUGUAAUUGCCAAAAUCGUUAUAGCUUCCGCCACCUCCAAAGUUGCUUCCACUACCACCGCCAUAGCCGCCUCCGCCUCCUCCGUUGUUAUAGCUGUCAUAGCUGCCACUCCCGCCAUAGCCACUGCCCUGGUUUCCAUAACCCUGUCCACCACUUCCAUAGCCUCUGCUUCCUCCAGAGUAACCAGGGCCGCCUCCUCCAUAACCACCGUCAUUACCAAAUCCGUUAUAGCCAGUCACAGCACCACCAUCUUAUCCUCCUACCAGCUACUCCUCUACACAGCCGACUAGUUAUGAUCAGAGCAGUUACUCUCAGCAGAACACCUAUGGGCAGCCGAGCAGCUAUGGACAGCAGAGUAGCUAUGGUCAACAAAGCAGCUAUGGGCAGCAGCCACCCACUAGUUAUCCCCCCCAAACUGGAUCCUACAGCCAGGCUCCAAGUCAAUAUAGCCAACAGAGCAGCAGCUACGGGCAGCAGAGUUCAUUCCGACAGGACCACCCCAGUAGCAUGGGUGUUUAUGGGCAGGAGUCUGGAGGAUUUUCCGGACCAGGAGAGAACCGGAGCAAGAGUGGCCCUGAUAACCGGGGCAGGGGAAGAGGGGGAUUUGAUCAUGGAGGCAUGAGCAGAGGUGGGCGGGGAGGAGGAUGCGGUGGAAUGGGCGCUGGAGAGCGAGGUGGCUUCAAUAAGCCUGGUGGACCCAUGGAUGAAGGACCAGAUCUUGAUCUAGGCCCACCUGUAGAUCCAGAUGAAGACUCUGACAACAGUGCGAUUAUGUGCAAG